rnacentral:rRNA from 1 species
UACGUAGGGGGCAAGCGUUGUCCGGAAUCAUUGGGCGUAAAGAGUGCGUAGGCGGUCCGGUAAGUCCGCUCUGAAAGUCCGGGGCUCAACCCCGGGAGGCGGGCGGAUACUGUCGGGCUAGAGUCCGGAAGAGGCGAGUGGAAUUCCUGGUGUAGCGGUGAAAUGCGCAGAUAUCAGGAGGAACACCAAUGGCGAAGGCAGCUCGCUGGGACGGUACUGACGCUGAGGCGCGAAAGCGUGGGGAGCAAACAGG